UACAGAGGGCGCAAGCGUUGUUCGGAUUCAUUGGGCGUAAAGGGCGCGUAGGCGGCGCCGUACGUCGGGUGUGAAAUUUCGGAGCUUAACUCCGAAACUGCAUUCGAUACUGCGGUGCUUGAGGACUGGAGAGGAGACUGGAAUUCAUGGUGUAGCAGUGAAAUGCGUAGAGAUCAUGAGGAAGACCAGUGGCGAAGGCGGGUCUCUGGACAGUUCCUGACACUGAGGCACGAAGGCCAGGGGAGCAAACGGG
rnacentral:rRNA from 1 species